GGCCUUCGCGCUUUCCAGGGAUCUCAUCGUCAUCUUUGUGUCAACUUACAACUGUCUGUCCUUCUUUAGAUAUCUUUAUUAGAUUUUGUUUUCAAACUUUCAAACUUUCAAACUUUCAACUUCAAGUCACAAGAACGAUCCCUUUCGUAUCGUUUUAAACUUCUUUCCUUCUAUUUCUCUUAACUGUAACUUUCACCAGGUUCUUCUAUGGACUCUCUGCGAGUCAGUCGUUUUGUUUUCUGCAGAUCAUUGUCGUUUUCGAGCACGACGAAACUUGCUCCGAGUUUCAGGCCUGUAGCGCAAGUGGGGUUUGGUUAUUUGUGGAGAAAAACGAAUAAAAAUGGUUGCUUGGUUAUCAGGUGCUCGACGUUUUUAAGUGAUGGCGGUAGUGGAGGAGCCACCGGUGGCUCCGGCAGUUCACAGGACGGUUCUUUUGCCGUUGAAGAUGAUAAAGAAGAGGUCGAAAAACACAUCAACAAUAACAUCAAAAACAACAGCGUCAACAACAAAAUGGGUCGCAUUUUGGGUGCUGAAAGAGAUGACUCUGGUUCUGUUAGUAGAUUUCAAUUGCUUCCUCAUUUGGGGGACCAGGAAGUCAGUGAGUCUCAAGAAGAGGUAGCUAGUCAUGAUGUAGAGAAAAUUGAGGACACUGAAGGAGAAUCAAAAGCUCAAACUCGGGUAACCUAUAAUAUUGUCUUUGUCACUUCUGAGGCAGCACCUUAUUCCAAAACAGGUGGACUAGGAGAUGUUUGUGGUUCUUUGCCUAUAGCUUUAGCUGCACAUGGACAUCGUGUUAUGGUUGUCUCUCCUAGAUAUCAGAAUGGCACUGAGGCAGACCAGAAGUUUGCUAAUGCCAUAGAUUUAGGUCGUUGCAUAAAGGUAUAUUGUUUUGAAGGAGAGCAAGAGGUUUCCUUUUUCCAUGAGUACAGAGAAGGUGUUGACUGGGUGUUUGUGGACCACCCUGCAUAUCACAGACCCGGAAAUCCAUAUGGUGAUAGUAAAGGUGCUUUUGGUGAUAACCAGUUUAGGUUCAUUUUGCUUUGCUAUGCAGCAUGCGAAGCUCCAUUAGUGCUUCCACUAGGAGGCUUUACUUAUGGUGAGAAAUGCCUUUUCCUUGUCAAUGACUGGCAUGCUAGCCUAGUUCCAGUGCUUUUGGCAUCUAAGUAUCGUCCAUAUGGAGUUUAUAGAGAAGCUCGGAGUAUUCUUGUGAUACAUAACCUUUCACAUCAGGGUGUCGAACCUGCUGCAACUUUUCAGCAUUUGGGAUUGCCUCCACAAUGGUAUGGGGCACUUGAGUGGGUAUUUCCCACAUGGGCCAGGACACAUGCUCUAGACACAGGUGAAGCUGUCAAUCUUCUGAAGGGUGCAGUUGUGACAUGUGAUCGAAUACUAACAGUUAGCAAGGGUUAUUCAUGGGAAAUAACAACUCCUGAAGGUGGAUAUGGCUUACAUGAGCUAUUAAAUAGUCGAAAGAGUGUUCUAGAUGGGAUUACAAAUGGCAUUGAUGUGGUUGAGUGGAACCCAUCUACGGAUGAGCAUAUUGCUGCUCACUAUUCUGCUGAUGAUCUCUCUGGAAAGGUUGAAUGCAAAAUAGCUUUGCAGAAGGAAUUAGGUCUUCCUGUUAGACCUGACUGUCCUCUGAUUGGAUUCAUUGGGAGACUGGACUACCAAAAAGGCAUUGACCUGAUUCGUGCGGCAACCCCAGAGAUUAUGGAAGAAGAUGUUCAAUUUGUUAUGCUUGGGUCUGGGGAUCCUCAGUAUGAGAGCUGGAUGAGAGUUGCUGAGGCAACUUACAGAGACAAGUUCCGUGGUUGGGUUGGAUUUAACGUUCCAAUUUCUCAUAGGAUCACAGCCGGCUGUGACAUAUUGUUGAUGCCAUCAAGAUUUGAGCCCUGUGGACUAAAUCAACUGUAUGCAAUGAGAUAUGGAACCAUACCAGUUGUUCAUGCCACUGGAGGACUUAAAGACACGGUAGAAAACUUCAAUCCGUAUGCUGAAGGAGGCAGUGGUAGAGGCACAGGGUGGACUUUUUCGCCACUAAUCAAAGAAAGCAUGUUGGCUGCGUUGAGAAAUGCAAUAAAGACUUACAGAGAAUACAAGACAUCAUGGCAAGGGUUGAUGAAGAGAAGUAUGGAGGAAGAUUACACAUGGGAAAACGCCGCAACACAAUAUGAGCAGGUUUUCGAAUGGGUCUUCAUCGACCCUCCUUAUGUUAGCUAGAGGAUAAACAAGGCAAAAACAGUAUGAAGUAACAACAAAAUCUCAAACUUCUCAUGAUUUAGUUUCUUUCUAUACAUGAUGCUGCUGAUCUUGCUCAUAUUUCCGGAUUAAGAAUCACUUUGAGGAAGCAAUUAUUCCUGCAAACAUGCCCGGUGGGUAUGCUUUCGACGAAUCUGGUAUAUAUAUAUUUUUUUCUUGAUGAGUCAAUAUAUUUCACGACAAGUGCACAUUAUUGACCAGUUGAUCAUUUUUGGUCUAUACAUUAAGGGGAAAAAGAAUCCUGUUGUAAACAUGUAUUUCUUUUUAAAACAGGCAAAACAAAGAGACUGCUGCUGUGAAAAAAGUUUUUGGUUGGUGUGGAAGCAAUAAGAAAGAUGAAUACUUGGCUUGAUAGAGGGGAGUAGUGUUGCAUAUUUUAUUUGAUGAAGAAAG